rnacentral:rRNA from 1 species
CUUAAGGCCGGCGGAAGAAGUAUUGCCAAGGAACUCGGCAAAAUGGCCCCGUAACUUAGGGAGGAGGGGUGCCUGCGAGAGCAGGCCGCAGAGAAUAGGCUCAAGCAACUUUUAGCAAAAACACAGGUCUGUGCGAAACCGAAAGGUGAGGUAUAUGGGCUGACGCCUGCCCGGUGCUGGAAGGUUAAGAGGAGAGGUUAGACGCAAGUCGAAGCUUUGAAUUUAAGCCCCAGUAAACGGCGGCCGUAACAAUAACGGUCCUAAGGUAGCGAAAUUCCUUGUCGGGUAAGUUCCGACCCGCACGAAAGGCGUAAUGAUUUGAGCGCUGUCUCGGCAAUACAUCCGGUGAAAUUGAAGUGCCAGUGAAGAUGCUGGCUACCCGCGCCAGGACGGAAAGACCCCAUGGAGCUUUACUCCAGUUUGGCACUGGGGUCCGGUGUUGCAUGUACAGGAUAGGUGGGAGGCUGAGAGAUAGUGACGUCAGUUGCUAUGGAGCCGCUGUUGGGAUACCACCCUUGUGAUAUUGGGCUUCUAACCAGCCGCCGUGAACCGGCGGUGGGACAAUGCCAGGCGGGGAGUUUGACUGGGGCGGUCGCCUCCGAAAGGGUAUCGGAGGCGCCCAAAGGUUCCCUCAGAAUGGACGGAAACCAUUCGAAGAGUGCAAAGGCAGAAGGGAGCUUGACUGCGACACCGACGGGUGGAGCAGGUACGAAAGUAGGGCUUAGUGAUCCGGUGGUAUUAAGUGGGAAUGCCAUCGCUCAACGGAUAAAAGCUACCCUGGGAUAACAGGCUUAUCACUCCCAAGAGUUCACAUCGACGGAGUGGUUUGGCACCUCGAUGUCGGCUCAUCGCAUCCUGGGGCUGUAGUAGGUCCCAAGGGUUGGGCUGUUCGCCCAUUAAAGCGGUACGCGAGCUGGGUUCAGAACGUCGUGAGACAGUUCGGUCCCUAUCCGGCGCGGGCGUAGGAUAUCUGAGAGGAGCUGUCCUUAGUACGAGAGGACCGGGAUGGACGGACCGCUGGUGGACCGGUUGGCUUGCCAAAGCCAUGGCCGGGUGGCCAAGUCCGGAAGGGAUAAACGCUGAAGGCAUCUAAGCGUGAAGCCCCCCUCAAGAUGAGAUAUCCCAUUCUUUAAGAAGUAAACCCCCUUGAAGACGACGAGGUAGAUAGGGCAGAGGUGGAAGUGUGGUAACACAUGGAGCUGACUGUUACUAAUCGGGUGAGGGCUUGACU